rnacentral:tRNA from 2 species
GCCCAGAUGGUGAAAUUGGUAAACACAAGGGACUUAAAAUCCCUCGGCUUUUAAUAGCUUUGCGGGUUCAAUUCCCGCUCUGGGUA